rnacentral:misc_RNA from 1 species
AAAUUCAAAACUCCGUGGGCUAGGUUGGACGCGCUAACCCGUGUUCAGCUCCCCAGAACCACACCCUUGUGAACGUUUAAUGUAUUUUGGCGAACCCUUGGCGCGGUUACCCGCGCUUUGAAUUCAAAGCUAUAGAAAAAAGUUGAAAGAUGAUUUUCACUAGCUAGGAAUUUUGGAUCGCCAGUCUAUGGCACACUCCUAUAUAUAUAAUCACUGAAACCAAAAAAGAGAAACAAUGAGAAACAACUUUAGACAACGGAUCUCUUGGCUCU